UACGUAGGGCGCAAGCGUUAUCCGGAAUUAUUGGGCGUAAAGAGCUCGUAGGCGGUUUGUCGCGUCUGCCGUGAAAGUCCGGGGCUCAACUCCGGAUCUGCGGUGGGUACGGGCAGACUAGAGUGCGGUAGGGGAGACUGGAAUUCCUGGUGUAGCGGUGAAAUGCGCAGAUAUCAGGAGGAACACCGGUGGCGAAGGCGGGUCUCUGGGCCGUAACUGACGCUGAGGAGCGAAAGCGUGGGGAGCGAACAGG
rnacentral:rRNA from 1 species